rnacentral:SRP_RNA from 1 species
GCUGGGCGUGGUGGCUCAUGCCUGUAAUCCCAGCAUUUUGGGAGCCUGAGGCAGGUGGAUCACCUGAGGUCAGGAGUUUGAGACCAACCUGACCAAUAUGGUGAAACCCUGUCUCUA